CCCUGGUGCUGUCCACUCUGCACCCCAGUGCUGAGUGCCCAACUGUGGCCUUUGGGCCUGCCUCUCGGCUGCCCUUGGUCACCGUCCCAAGCGGAUCAGGUGGGAAACAAGGGGAGUGCUGUCACUGGGUGGUUCCCCAGCUGGGGAGGGUGGCCUGGAUCCUCUCUCAGUGGCUGGGGCAUCUGAGAAAGGAUGGGGGCACGUCACCUCCCUUGUGUGGGUGGUGGCUCUGUCGAGGUUUUGCUUUUCUGAACUGUGUGUAUUCAUGAGGCAAGCAGGGUUUGACAUGAAGCCUUCAGAAAAUAGUGGCUGUCUGCUAUUUCACACAGUUGUCCAUUCAUCCACCCAUCUAUUCAUUCCCAUGCAUUCACUCUCACCUUCACCACUUCCUUUCCUUCCUUCCUCCCUCCUUCUCUUCCAUCAUCCAUCCCUCCGUCUGUCCAUCCUUUCAACCACCCAUACAAUCACCUACCCAUCCACUCAUCCCUCCAUUUCAUCUAUCCCUCCCGCCAUCCAUCCAUCCAUCCAUCAUUAGUCUAUCCAUCCAUUCAUCCACCCACCUAUCCAUCUAUCUACCCAUCCAUCUACCUGUCUAUCCAUCCAUCCAUCCAUCUCUUCAUCUAUCCAUCUACCCAUUCAUG
rnacentral:lncRNA from 10 species